CACACUGGCCACGCCACGUCCUCGCCACCGCCCUCGCCUGGCAUCAAUGGCCGUCGCCGUAGUCAGCUCAAGACGACACCACCCAAGGUGCGUGGCACGUCUCCGAGCCAACCAGCGAGCCCUGUCAUCACUGCAGGGAGCCGCCAUCCACACUAACCACGGCCACCGCCCCUAACCACCCUCUCUACCUCACUAAUGGUGAUCGCUGCCGUGGACAUUCUUUGGAAGCCACGACACCACCUCUCCCCCGCCUAUUUAAGCUUUCCCCGAGCCCUCUCAGUCCAUCACCAUCCAUCCUCCUCCCUCUAUUAGCCCCCAAGCAAGAGAGCGACCUAGAACGGUCGUCUCCCCCAUCUCCGGCAGCUUCGGCCGCCGCCUUGUUCUAGUCGAUUCCGACGCAGCCAGUGCGUCCCCCUCACAUAUUUUGUCACCACCGACCUCCUUGAACACCCACUGAUCCAUCCCCGCACUCGAUUUUUCCCGGGAGCCACCAUAGGCGAAACGCCCGAUUCGUCUCCGCCGGAGCUCCUCGGGUGAGCUCGCCGCCGGCGACUCCGUCCACCCCAGGGGCCAUGGUGACCAUCGGAGGGACCGCCUCGACCCCCUGAGCUCGUGCGUGGCCUCGGUUUUCCGAUUGGUGCCGUCGUUCGGCGGCAAACCUCGCCGGAACUCCACCUCUGUUCGGCCGGAGAAGGAGGCGCACGCGUGGAAUGGUCAAACCUGACUAGUGGGCCAGGCGGGCCCACUGUCAGUGUCCCAGCGCCGCUGACCCGUCUGUAAGUGGAGACACACUCCGCUGUGGCCGCCUUCGCACGGGGAAGAAGUACCAGGCGAAUACACCUUCGACGUCAUCAACUCUUCCUCACAACUGAGAAGCUGGGCUCGGCCCAGUAACGCCAGACGGCUAUAUAUUGCCCAGGUUGCAGGUACAGAUAAUGCGAUGUCCAUCACGCGAGAGCGAUGUUUGCACGUUUUGAGUUCUUCUUCUUCUUCUUCUUCGAUCUUGGGUUAGGUUCCUGGUUGGCAGCCUGGGCUAGCAGGGUGGAUGUCGUUUGAGCUUUUGUUUGUGUUUCAUCCGUAGCCGGAUGUUCUCAUGUAUGGUGUUGAUGUAUUCUUGCGGCAUUUGUAUGCCUUGUAUGUAUCCCCAUCUAUUAUGUAAUGGAUCGAUGUAAUGAUAUCCACCUUGCAAAAGCGUGUCAAUAUGCGGUUCUAUCCUUGGUGGGACCUCCGAGUCUCUUUAGGAUAGUGUCGCAUAUUGGGCGUGACAGAAACUCUCUAGGAAAAUCAUAUGAACUCCAAAUGACUUGAUUCUUUUUCUGUUAA